rfam:Schistosoma curassoni strain Dakar, Senegal genome assembly, scaffold: SCTD_scaffold0003482
GCACUGCUGAAGAGUCCCAUGCUGGGACGAAACGACUGUCCAGUGU